UACGUAGGGGGCUAGCGUUGUCCGGAAUCAUUGGGCGUAAAGAGCGCGUAGGCGGCCAGAUAAGUCCGGUGUGAAAGUCACAGGCUCAACCUGUGAAUGCCGCUGGAAACUGUCUGGCUAGAGUCCGGGAGGGGCGAGUGGAAUUCCUGGUGUAGCGGUGAAAUGCGCAGAUAUCAGGAGGAACACCAAUGGCGAAGGCAGCUCGCUGGAACGGUACUGACGCUGAGGCACGAAAGCGUGGGGAGCAAACAGG
rnacentral:rRNA from 1 species